GAGGGGGUGCGGACGGAGGGCGAGCAGCUUCGCUGCGAGAGCCGAAUGACGCUGCUUGCAGCUUUAAUUUUCUAUUGUUCUCUGACCACAAAGCUCGUGUCGAAGCUAUCAAUCUAGAGCGGUGGUGCGAUUCCUCAGAAUGAUCAAACUACUGACAUGUUUCAGCUUAUUAUAGAAAAAAGACAUCAGAGUGUAAAGUGUUGCUUCUUUAUCAGAGGGUUAUUUAUGUUUUAAUUAUGUUUAUGUUUAUGUAUUUAGCAGACGCUUUUGUCCAAAGCAACUUACAAGUGAUAUUCGGCAUGUUGCCCUUGAGGCUAACAACAACAAUAACAACAACUUGACAUCAAUCAUGGAGAGGAGGGAACAAGGAGUGGACAGUAGAGAGGGGGGACGGGUGCAGGGAGGGUGCUAGUUUAGAAGACGCUCUCUGAAGAGCAGGGUCUUCAGGAGUUUCUUGAAAAUUUAAAAGGAAGCUCCAGUUCUGGUAGUGCUUGGUAGGUCAUUCCACAUUUGUGGAACGAUGCAUGAGAAGAGUCUGGAUUGUCCUGAGCGUGGUGUAGGCACUGCUAGCCGACGAUCCUGCGAUGACCGGAGCGGCCGGGCAGAGACGUAAGCCUUUGCAAGAGGAUUUAGGUAGAUGGGAGCCGUACCAUCUCGGACUUUGUAUGCUAUAGGGCUGCAACGAUUCCUCGAGUAACUCGAAUGAUUCGAGGACAAGAAAUAUUCGAGGAUUUUCCGCUGCCUCGAGGACUCGUUAAAUAGACCAUAGCUGAAAAAGACCGGCGUGUCGCACGGAUUCUUUAUGUGUUGCACAACGCGGUUACGUCACAGAUUAUAUGUGCCAUGCACUCUACUGCACAGCGCGCAGCGGUCUUGUCGUCUUUUCAGCUGGACAGCCGACAAUGGCAGACGCCACGGAAAUAAAUGAAAACAAGCAAGACCAAAACGAGGGAUAUAGGAAGCGACAGAAGCUAUCCAAGGUGUGGGAUCACUUUACGUUAAAAAGCAAGGAAAACGUCGCCGUAUGCAAGCAUUGCAAGGUGGAGCUAGCAUACCACAACAUCACUUCUUCCAUGCUGCAGCACCUCUUAAGAAAGCAUCCGACUGAGGGCUUGAGUGGACGUGCCGAGACCAGUGAAGCAGUGAAACAUCACAACCCGUCCUGGAUAGAUUUCUGCUGAAAGCACCUGCCUGCACCCCAGCACAAGCAGCCGUACUGACAGACCGCAUUCUAAAUAUGCUGGUUACAGACAUGCGCCCGCUGAGCAUGGUGGAGGAUGCAGGCUUCAAAGCGAUGAUUGCUGCUUUCCAGCCAAAUUAUGCUCUUCCAUCUCGGACCUUCUUCACAAAGCGGUUGGAAGAAAAAUAUGAAGACCUCAAAAACAAGAUGAAGAAAGCCCUGCAAGAGACUGACACCAUAGCACUUACUGCUGAUAUCUGGAUAAAUGUGGCAACAGAGGCCUACAUGGGGGUAACGUGCCACUACCUAGAAAACUGGAAAAUUGUGUCUCAUUGUCUCACCACUAUGCCUUUGGAGGAGAGGCAUACAGCUGCAAACAUUGCAGAUUGGAUUGAGGAGGUAAUUGCCAAAUUCAGCAUUCCACCAGAGAAAAUCAAGGCUGUUGUACAUGACAAUGGUGCUAAAGUCAUGCAACAAAGAUUUUGCAUGCAAAGCAUGGAUGGGAGCCAGUGACAUGUGCAGGACACACCCUCAACUUGGUUGUGCAAAACACUUUAAAAAGCCAACGGGCUAUCUCCAGGUGUGUGGGUGCAGCGAGAACUCCUGUCGAACAUUUUAAGAAAAGUGAAUUGGCAAGCACAAAGUUAAAGGUCAAGCAGAGGCACAUGGGGACCAAAGAAAACAUGCUGUUGCAGGAUGUCUGCACACGCUGGAACAGCACCUAUGCCAUGUUGUCAAGGCUGCAAGAACAAAGAUGACCAGUGACUGCUACAUUGUCUGACCCAGAAGUGACCCAAAGAGGGAAACAUUACCCGGAUCUCAAACCUGACCAGUGGAGCCUGAUUGAGGAGCUCAACCAGGUCCUUGAGCCCUUCCACUCUGCCACAGUUUUUAUGAGUGGAGAGCAAUAUGUUACGCUUUCUGCACUUCCACAUGUUGACAAAAUUAAGAAAUCACUCCAGAGUCAGAAUCUCGAGUCACCACCUGUGGUGUCAUUCCAGACUCAUGCAAAAGAACAGGUCACAACAAGAUGGAAAGACUUGGGUGAGUUCAAACCUGAGUCUCCAAACAUCACACUGCUUGCUGCUUUUCUGGAUCCCAGGUUUCGAAAACUCAAAUUCUUACCUGCUGGCCAAGCAUUAGGAGUCAAAAACGCAUUGCAAACCAUGGCACUUGCUGUCAAGCAGCAACUGAGACCUACUGGAUGCAGAAAUGAAGCAUCCAGCACAGCAGAGGGUGCUCCAUCUGCAGCACAUAAAGACAAGAUGACCACAUCCGUCCUUGACUCUGACUCCACCAGCAGUGAUGAAGAGCAGUGAUGAAGAACAGCUGUCAAAUGAAGCUAUACAGAAUGAGGUCUUGGCAUAUUUCAGAGAACAGUCCCUUCCAAAGACGGAUGAUCCUCUGAUCUGGUGGAAAGCUAAUGAACAACGCUUUCCAACAUUGGCGAAGCUGGCAAACCCCCUGCUCUGCAUUCCAGCUACAUCCACCCCAUCCGAGCGGUUGUUUUCCGCAGCAGGUAAUAUUGUGUCAAAGAAGAGGGCAAGCCUCAGCCCUGAGCAUGUAGAUGUGCUCACCUUCCUUCACUGCACAACCACAGACUCCUUGGAUGGAUUGUAGUUCCACUCCCCAGGCAGUCUCUUUAAAAUCCUUGUUUACAGUAGCAGGACUUCUGGUGGUCCCCCGGUCGAAGUUUCGAUCGAGGGGUAGUCGUGCUUUUUCUAUUUUGGCUCCAACUCUGUGGAACGAAUUGCCACUGAGCAUUAGACAGGCUCCAUCCCUUCAAGUUUUUAAGUCUCGUUUAAAGACUCAUUUUUAUCUGAUUGCAUUUCAGCGCUAGGGUCACUUGAAUUGCCCUAACAUUAUGGUUUUAACUAUUCUUCUUUUUAUACCGGAUGCUUGAUUUUAUUUUGUCCGACAUUUGUUUUUUUAAUCGAUUGGUCUUAUUCCAAUAUCUCUUAUCUGCAAUGCUGUUUGCUUGCUAUUUUAUGAUUUUAUGUUUUUAUCGUGCUUUUAUGCCCAUGUAUUGAGAAUGUUUUUCUUUUAAUGAUGUUGUUCAGCACCUUGGGCUUCGGAUAAUGUUGUAGAAGGUGCUAUACAAACAAAAUUUGAUUGAUUGAUUGAUUGUGUGCCAAGUUACUGUCUUACAUGUCAGUUCUGAAUAUAAAGCUGCACAUUUGAAGGACAGUGUUAACGGCACAAUUUAUUGCACAUUCUUUUUGAUACUAACCCCGGCUUUCCACCGGAGCCGUCAGCAGCACGUCAUAGCUGCUGAUAGGAACCGCUGUGGUCAACAGAACCUUUUCCACCGGAGCCGUCAGCAGCGCGAGUCGGCCGCGUCUCAGGAGCAGCAUGUCGCGGCCUUUACGCGCCGGUUCUAUUUUCUACGCGCGACGCCUCUGAAACGGGUCAAGUUCAACAUUUUUGGGGAAGGAAAGACAGGAAAUCAGAUGCGGAAAUGGAGAGAAGCUCCCGAGAUUUUCAGAAUAAAGAACGUACUGCCUUCCGGUUGCUUUACUUUAAAAAAGGUUACUAACUGUGCGGCCCCGUGAGAAGUUAUCACCUAGCUAGCGGUCUCCUUUGUUUUUCAGGUCCGUAUUGGCGAUUAUAAAACGGACAGAACAUAAAACACAAACCAUGUUGUAGUUUUCUCCUGCUUGUUGUUGUGUUUACUGACGAAGUCACUCGUGUGACUUCGUGCUCUGUCGGUGACAGCUGCUCCCCUGCUGCUUCGCGUCUCGUGGAAAGGGCCAAGCAGCAGCUUACGCGAGCAAGACGUGCUGCUGCAGUAACGUGCUGCUGACGGCUCCUGUGGAAACCCGGGGUUAGGGUGAUAACUGCUUUUUAGUAAUUCAAAGAAUAUUUUUAUAUUUUUAUGUAACUGUCUCAGGGAAUGUUAGGUUUAAAGUAAUAUUAUUUAUAUUUGUGUUUUCAUCUCAAAUGUUAAGGUGGAAGUAAUUUUAGUUCUCUGAUUUUUCUAAAGAAACAAUUACUAUUUUCCAUCAUACAAACACAUUAAUAAAAUGUCAUUUAUACAUAACAUUUAAAUUUGUUGUUUUCAUUAUUAAGUCUGUCUUUUUUUAUAUUGUAUAUUUAUAAUUGAACCUUAAUUUUGCAGAAGUAUGUUUUAUUCGAUUACUCGAUUAAUCGAUCGGGAUAUUCGAUAGAAUACUCGAUUACUAAAAUAUUCGAUAGCUGCAGCCCUAGUGUGCUAUUGUUAGCAAUUUGAAUUUGAUGCGUGCUGCUAGCGGUAGCCAGUGGAGCUCAAUGAACAGAGGGGUGACGUGUGCUCUUUUUGGCUGAUUGAAGACCAGACGCGCCACUGCGUUCUGGACCGUUUGAAAAGGUCUCACAGUACAGCCUGGAAGACCAGUUAGAAGGGCGUUGCAGUAAUCGAGGCGAGAGAUGACAGUAGAUUGCACCAAGAGCUGGGUGGCAUGUUGUGUUAGGUAUGGUCUGAUCUUUCCUAUGUUAUACAGCGCAAAGCGGCAUGAACGAGCAAUAGAGGCAACAUUAUCUUUAAUUAGCAUGUAAUUAGCAUGUAAUUAUCAUGUAAGUAGCAUGUAUGUUCUGCUGGGGUAAUGAUAUCAGCAAGUGAUUACCUUAAAGUGAUUUAAGUGUCUGUUCUUCUGAUUAACAUGUGAAUGUUGGUUGACUUAUCCCUCUGUCUCUCUCUCUGUAAACACACACACACACACACACA